rnacentral:rRNA from 1 species
AGUGAACGCUGGCGGUAGGCCUAACACAUGCAAGUCGAACGGCAGCACAGUAAGAGCUUGCUCUUACGGGUGGCGAGUGGCGGACGGGUGAGGAAUACAUCGGAAUCUACUUUUUCGUGGGGGAUAACGUAGGGAAAUUUACGCUAAUACCGCAUACGACCUACGGGUGAAAGCAGGGGAUCUUCGGACCUUGCGCGAUUGAAUGAGCCGAUGUCGGAUUGGCUAGUUGGCGGGGUAAAGGCCCACCAAGGCGACGAUCCGUAGCUGGUCUGAGAGGAUGAUCAGCCACACUGGAACUGAGACACGGUCCAGACUCCUACGGGAGGCAGCAGUGGGGAAUAUUGGACAAUGGGCGCAAGCCUGAUCCAGCCAUACCGCGUGGGUGAAGAAGGCCUUCGGGUUGUAAAGCCCUUUUGUUGGGAAAGAAAAGCAGCAGGUUAAUACCCCGCUGUUCUGACGGUACCCAAAGAAUAAGCACCGGCUAACUUCGUG